GCUGGCAGCUAGCUCUCUACAACUCUCACAUGGUCGCUCACUGAAGCUUAGCAGGGCUGCACCUGGCCAGUAUCUGGAUGUGAGACCACAUGAGAAAGCUAGGUUGCUGCCGGAA
rnacentral:rRNA from 1 species